rnacentral:lncRNA from 1 species
UUUUUUGGAGUAUGACAUGUAUGUUCUAUUUUGUUUGUUUUUGUUUUUUAUACAACAGUCCAUUUCAAAUAUAUUUGAAAAGUGAAUCGAUGAAAACCUAUCAAUUUCUUAAUUUUUCUGUUUCAAAUUAAUGCAAAUAGUAGGAUGAAUGUGCUAUGAUACUAAUGCAUAUGCAGAUGAAUCACCAACCAAAAGUCAAAUGAAAAUGAAAAGGAGAAGAAAAUUUUUGGGGUAUGACAUGUAUGUUCUAUUUUGUUUGUUUUUGUUUUUUA